rnacentral:rRNA from 1 species
UGUUUCGGCUAGGGGGCCAUCCCGGCUUACCAACCCGAUGCAAACUGCGAAUACCGGAGAAUGUUAUCACGGGAGACACACGGCGGGUGCUAACGUCCGUCGUGAAGAGGGAAACAACCCAGACCGCCAGCUAAGGUCCCAAAGUCAUGGUUAAGUGGGAAACGAUGUGGGAAGGCCCAGACAGCCAGGAUGUUGGCUUAGAAGCAGCCAUCAUUUAAAGAAAGCGUAAUAGCUCACUGGUCGAGUCGGCCUGCGCGGAAGAUGUAACGGGGCUAAACCAUGCACCGAAGCUGCGGCAGCGACAC